UGGUGGAGUGAUUUGUCUGGUUAAUUCCGUUAACGAACGAGACCUCCGCAUCUAAAUAGUUUCGCUUACAUUUUUGUAGGUUUUGAGACUUCUUAGAGGGACUUUGGGUAAUCAAACCAAAGGAAGUUGGAGGCAAUAACA
rnacentral:rRNA from 1 species